rnacentral:rRNA from 1 species
AACGAACGCUGGCGGCAUGCCUAACACAUGCAAGUCGAACGAGACCUUCUGGUCUAGUGGCGCACGGGUGCGUAACUCGUGGGAACCUGCCCUUAGGUUCGGAAUAACUCCCCGAAAGGGGUGCUAAUACCGGAUAAUGUCUUCGGACCAAAGAUUUAUCGCCUUUGGAUGGGCCCGCGUUGGAUUAGCUUGUUGGUAGGGUAAAAGCCUACCAAGGCGACGAUCCAUAGCUGGUCUGAGAGGAUGAUCAGCCACACUGGGACUGAGACACGGCCCAGACUCCUACGGGAGGCAGCAGUGGGGAAUAUUGGACAAUGGGCGAAAGCCUGAUCCAGCAAUGCCGCGGGAGUGAUGAAGGCCUUAGGGUUGUAAAGCUCUUUUACCCGGGAUGAUAAUGACAGUACCGGGAGAAUAAGCUCCGGCUAACUCCGU